UGUAUACGUACAACAUGCAUGCUUGAUA
rnacentral:piRNA from 1 species